UCCAAAUACGAUGCUUUAUGAAAUCUUAAGCAAGUUCAAUGAAAUGAUGACAGUGGCUCAUCUCAGAGUUUAGGAAGAUCAUUAUUUGUUAAACUUGUCUAAUGACAAUAUUUAACUCUUAUCAGGAAAAAAACUACAAAACUUAAUAUAAGACAAAUUUGUUGAUAAGCUCGCAACAUUGUUUUCAGACGAUAAAUAAAUCUAAAUUUUAUUUGGAAAAGAAAUAGAAUGCAACAUUCAAAAAAUGACUUUUAGAUCAAGUCUGUAUAUCUGUCGAAAACCCAAUUGUAAAGUUAAAGCGAUGCAAUAGCCGAGCCCAUAUCUCAAUCUCUCUGAAUAUAUAUCUGUCAAAGAACGUUCUACAAAUAUGUGACAUUUUUUGUAUUUCUUUUUGUUAAGGCUUUACCUGAAUAUUUGCUACCUAUAAUUUUUUUCAAAUAAAACUUUUAAUAA
rnacentral:lncRNA from 1 species